rnacentral:rRNA from 1 species
AUUGAACGCUGGCGGCAGGCCUAACACAUGCAAGUCGAGCGGAUGAAGGGAGCUUGCUCCUGGAUUCAGCGGCGGACGGGUGAGUAAUGCCUAGGAAUCUGCCUGGUAGUGGGGGAUAACGUCCGGAAACGGGCGCUAAUACCGCAUACGUCCUGAGGGAGAAAGUGGGGGAUCUUCGGACCUCACGCUAUCAGAUGAGCCUAGGUCGGAUUAGCUAGUUGGUGGGGUAAAGGCCUACCAAGGCGACGAUCCGCAACUGGUCUGAGAGGAUGAUCAGUCACACUGGAACUGAGACACGGUCAAGACUCCUACGGGAGGCAGCAGUGGGGAAUAUUGGACAAUGGGCGAAAGCCUGAUCCAGCCAUGCCGCGUGUGUGAAGAAGGUCUUCGGAUUGUAAAGCACUUUAAGUUGGGAGGAAGGGCAGUAAGUUAAUACCUUGCUGUUUUGACGUUACCAACAGAAUAAGCACCGGCUAACUUCGUG